rnacentral:lncRNA from 1 species
ACCUUUUUAUUCAUCAAAACGUUCAAUUAAAUCCAAAAAUACAUAAAUGGGAAAAUUAUCAUUUUGCCCCUAACAUUUUACACUUUUUGCAAUUUAGUCAUUUUUGCUCAAAACACAAAAUACACAAAAUUUGACUACACUCCUUUAGGGCCAAAUAUUCAUAGUAUAUUUACAAGCCCACACAUUUCAUUUAUUUCACAUUUUAACCCCUCAAAAAUUUAUUUUUACAAUUUAACCCUAAUUACUCAAAUUCAUCAAAAAUUCAAAGACAAAACAUAUUAAUCUUUCACAUAUCUUUCAUAUUUCAUCAUCAACUAUCACAAAGCUCAAGCAUUCAUCAAUGGUACAUUUCAAAAUCAUCAACAAUUCAUAAAAUUAAGGCAUGGGUUUUAAAGUAUUCGAAGCAACGAUCUCAAAAACGUAAAAAUUAUCGAAAACCGAACAAAAACGAACCUUGAAUUUAAGCUUGAAUAUGG